UGCCAGCCGCCGCGGUAAUACGUAGGUCCCGAGCGUUAUCCGGAUUUACUGGGCGUAAAGCGUCUGUAGCCGGAUAGUUAAGUCUACUUUCAAAUCCCGUAGCUCAACUACGGACAGGGAGUAGAUACUGAUUAUCUAGAGUAUUUUGGAGGUUAGUGGAAUUUCCGGUGGAGCGGUGAAAUGCGUUGAUAUCGGAAGGAAUGCCGAAAGUGAAAACAGCUAACUAUGAAAUUACUGACGGUGAGAGACGAAAGCUUGGGUAGCAAACGGGAUUAGAUA
rnacentral:rRNA from 1 species